GCACAGCUUUCUUUGAGAAGUCGAUGGUGCUCUUUGAAAUAUAAAGGUAUUGUCAUUGAGCAGGCGGGUCUCUUUCUUGGUAACGACGUGAGGGAAGGAGGAAUCAGCUAAAGGUUUGCACCAAACCUGUUUGACCUCCCUUUGCCCUGUGAUACAGCGAAUAUGGAUAAAUUGGGGAGUACUGGAGGUGGUUCUUUCAAGCCGGAUAAAUUUGACAAAAUGAAAAAUCAAGUGAAACCAGGUGAGCUGACAUGAGAGCCAUGUUUUUGAAAUGGAGCUUAUUGCAUGGCCUGCUCUGGAUGGUACACUUGAUUGACCUCAUGUGGUAGUACGUUUUUUGACUGGAGCAGAAGCCACAACUCCUGCUGCAUGGUGCAGUAACUGAAAAGGAACAAGGUCUUGGCAGCUGCAGAAAACAUGGAAGUGACAUAUGUCUGUGUCUAAAUUUGGUUUGUAAGAUUGUAGCAGUUUGAGUUAGAAUGGGUUCUAGUACAGCGGCCCAGUUUAUUGAAACUCUGGCACACUUCAGCUUUGUCAUUCUUGUAAGGUACAACUCGAAGGUGUUAAAUUUGUUCUAAAAGUGAGUGCCUAAAUCCCAAUGCAAAUAACUCACAUUUCUGUACGUGGCUUUGGGGUUUCAGAUAUCAGAUAUGUAAAUUAUAUUUUGUAAGCCUUGUUUCUAUGUAAAUAAACUUUAACUGGAAAGUUCUUACUCUUUUGUAGUCGUCUUGUCCCUGAACAAAAUUAAAUUCAUAAUUUUAAGGCAACACCAUACUUUACUGUAUGCAACAUGUUUUCAUUAUAAAAAUUGAACAUUUCAUAUAAUGUUUAGCUUGGUGUUCUGUUCUUGAAGCUGUAUACUCUAUAGUUGUAGUGAUUCUGUGCUUUGCUCCAUAACCUAUUGGGCUAAAUAAAUUUAGGUUCAAGUUCCAGCUCCUGUACUUAAAAUUUUGCCAGGUCUGUAAAUGGCUUUAGCCAUUCUUCAUAUUUAAGAUUUUCUGUCAGUUUCUAGUCUUGUAAUUUUAGAAGAACUGAUAUAUGUGUGUCUUGUGAUGGUCUUCAUUUUGAUGCUAUAGUGCCCUAAAAUUAUUUGGGGCAUUAGUCUUGGAUAAAAAGAAAAAAUAAAAUACAAGUCUCAAAAUCAA